AGUUUGAUCCUGGCUCAGAACGAACGCUGGCGGCAGGCCUAACACAUGCAAGUCGAGCGCGCCUUUCGGGGUGAGCGGCGGACGGGUUAGUAACGCGUGGGAAUAUGCCCUUUGGUACGGAAUAGCCUCUGGAAACGGAGAGUAAUACCGUAUGAGCCCUUCGGGGGAAAGAUUUAUCGCCAAAGGAUUAGCCCGCGUUAGAUUAGGUAGUUGGUGGGGUAAUGGCCUACCAAGCCUACGAUCUAUAGCUGGUUUUAGAGGAUGAUCAGCAACACUGGGACUGAGACACGGCCCAGACUCCUACGGGAGGCAGCAGUGGGGAAUCUUGGACAAUGGGGGCAACCCUGAUCCAGCCAUGCCGCGUGAGUGAUGAAGGCCUUAGGGUCGUAAAGCUCUUUCGCCUGUGAAGAUAAUGACGGUAGCAGGUAAAGAAACCCCGGCUAACUCCGUGCCAGCAGCCGCGGUAAUACGGAGGGGGUUAGCGUUGUUCGGAAUUACUGGGCGUAAAGCGCACGUAGGCGGAUCGGAAAGUUGGGGGUGAAAUCCCGGGGCUCAACCCCGGAACUGCCUCCAAAACUAUCGGUCUAGAGUUCGAGAGAGGUGAGUGGAAUUCCGAGUGUAGAGGUGAAAUUCGUAGAUAUUCGGAGGAACGCCAGUGGCGAAGGCGGCUCACUGGCUCGAUACUGACGCUGAGGUGCGAAAGUGUGGGGAGCAAACAGGAUUAGAUACCCUGGUAGUCC
rnacentral:rRNA from 1 species